CCGGGCUGGGCCGACGGGCCGCUGUGGGCCCCGCAAGAUGGGCGGCCCAUGUGCUGAGAGCCGAGGGUGCUGCGCGCCUGUCUGGUCGCCGCGACCCAUUGUGUGCUGGCCCCCCGGCUGCACGCGCAGCCGCCUCGUGUCCCCGCCCUGCCACGCCGGCCCUCUGCUCGGCUCUGGCCUGCGGCGCUUUCAACGGCAGUCUGUUUUUUGCACUUCAGACCUGGCGGACACCCCUGAGGCCCUGCUCCACUGGGCUCCACAUACUCGAGCACAUCUCUGCUGGCCUAGAUGUCCCAAAAGUCGUUUGGCUGGAAGAGGAUUGAAUCCUGUUAUGCAGUCCAUCUAGCAGGAGCAAAAGGGAAGAAAAUGGAGCCCGACUUCGUGGUGCACGCCUGUAAUCCCAGCACGUGGGAGGCCGAGACCCAAGGGUCAUCAGGAGUUCAAGGCCAAUGUGGACUCCACAGUGUGAUCUUGUCUCAAAAAUAAGGAAAAAAUGGCGGGGAUCAAACUCACGACCUUGUACUUGCCAGAAAGCCCUUAUGCCACCAAACUAAAUCCCCAGCAUUUCAUGGAUUCUGAAUUGUGACUUAUUCAGAUGACAGCCAGCCAUAGUCCUAAAGACACGACAACUGAACAAAGCUAAGCAGCAUCAAGAAAUUAUCCCUAGGCAAGAAAACAACCCUAUUACCUAAACAAAGAAAGAAUAUAAACUAUUAUUAACUGCUGCAAGGCAGGUGCUGAGACAUCCCUGGUCCAAGACAUUUUCUUGAAGUCUAAGAAGGGCAAGAACUAAGUCCUUCAAUUAUUUUAAAUUGUCAACAAUUCGUCAGAAGAAAGAUGAGAACUUCUCUGCCUUCUUAGAUCACUUACAAGAGGCUUUGAUAAAACAUACGCCCCUGGCUCUCGAUCAGACAGAAAGACAUAUUAUUCUUUUUUUUAAUCGGUACCGGGGAUCAAAUGCACGACCAUGCACUUGCAAGGCAGGCGCUUAUGCUGCUGAGCUAAAUCCCCAGCCCUGACAGAUUAUUCUUAAAGACAGGUUUAUAACCCAGUCAGCCUUGGGUGUUAGGAAAGAUGGCUUUUGCUGCAAAGAGCUCACCUGAUGCUUUGGUGAGACUUGCCUCUUCUGGAUUUUAUAAUCCAGACCAGGAGGAGGCCACAGGAAGAAAACAGAGACCAAGAGAAAGUGGCUGCCUCUGCUGCAGACUUAAAAGGAAUAUAUCCUAAGUCUGCUUCUUGGGGCUCCAAGAAAAACCAACUCAUCUACUGCUGCAGAAAACCAGGUCACCUUAGGAGAGAUGGUGGUAAGAACCCUCAUGACAAGAGGCCCCCUGAGCCAUGCCCGGGCAAAAAUGACUACUGGACAUCAGAUGGCCCUCUGAGGUGAAGGCCCCAAGAGUCAGAGCCAUCUUCCCAGCUGGUCCAGCAAGAUUGAGGGGCCCUGGUGCACUCUCUGCCUUCUCCCCUGGCAAGACUGUCAUCUCCAUGAGUCCCGGGUAAUCAGGACUCCAGAGGGAAAAAGAGACCAGCCAUGGUGUGUGUCUCUCAGUCCUUCAGCCCUGGCCCUCCUUCGAGCUGUCAUACCUCAGUGAAAGGAGUCACUGGAGAGAAUGUAACUCACUAUUUCACAACUUUUAGACUGUAACUCGGAUGGCUUUCUUGUCACUCAUUCCUUUUUAAUUAUGCCUGAAAGCCCAGUUCCCCUCCUGGGGAGAAAUAUUUUAUCUUGUUUGAAGACUGUAAUAUACACACACCCAGGUCAGUACAGUGCCUACCCCUCACGGAGCAGAAAUAAAUCCUGAAGAGUGGGCAACUAAAGGCCAAAUAUGGGGCAUCCCAUUCAGAACCCCUCUGAGGUCUCAGGAGCUAUUCCUACUACUCAUUCUCCCAUUCCUUUUCUCCAAUACAUUUUCCUGCCCUAAAAUAAAUAAAUAUAAAUAUGGAGAAGGAAGAGCAAAGAGACCUGCCCCAGAGCAGACACAGCUCAAAGAUCCUACUACUUUUUCCCCACUGGAGACAAUACCCUCCAAGACCUGAAGUUAAAAGAAUUAUUGUGUAAAAUCAAUAAGUUAAGGCACAAGGUCUACUAAAUACUGCAGUAGCUCGUGCAACACUCCAGUCUUAGGAUAACCCAGUGGAGUGCAGAGGUGGGUACCGGCCCCAGACUGAUGAAUGAUAUAGGAGUGCCAGUCUGCACAGUGGCAUCGAACCUGCACAUGCCCCUUUCUUGGAUCCCAGAAGAUGUCGGUCGGUUUUCAGUGUUACAGUUAAAAGAUGCCUUCUUUUGUAUUCUGUUACAUACAGAUUCCUGGUUUCUUUUUGCCUUUGAAGAUUCUUACAACCAGGCCUCUCAGCUGGCAUGGACUGUGCUUCCUCAUGGGUUUAGAGACAGGUGGAAGGCACAACUUCACAGCCUGGAGGACAAUAAGAGCCUGGAAAAGACCAUUGGCUACUACACUGUUGGAUGACAGCAGUAGACACCAGCCCAAUGCAAAGAGGGGUCGGAGCCAGGUGUGGUGCAACCUGUAGUCCCAGCACUCAGGAGGCCACCGCAGGAGAAUCGCCACAAGUAGGAGGCCAAGCUGGGAGUCCUGCACCCAGAAGCCCAGCCCCACGGCUCGAAGGAAAGGGACAGUCUUCAUGCCCUCCACUGAUCUUUCAGAUGGGACUCAGACUUACGAGAAAGGCCAGCUCCAGGGACACCUCCGACUCCGACCCCAGGUGCAACCCCGACUCCGGGUCCAACGCCAUAGCCAGGAAAGCCCCCGGGCCCAGCUCCAUAGGUGGGGAUGCCCCCAACUCCCACUCUGGCCCCGGCCCCUGCAGAGGGAAAGAAUGGGGGGAAUGGGCCUUGGAGAGAGAGGUUGGAGGGGGGUUGCUGGCUGCUGGGAAGGAGGGUGCAUGUGACCCCCAGGUCUGGUUGAUGAGGAAGUGGGUGUCCGAGCUCCUGGCCAGUCUUCUCCAUGAGGCCUCACUCUCCCCCACUUCUCUGUUCUCUAGAUGCUUGGGAAAGGGUCAGGAGACAGUGCGGGCUUCUCCCAGCUGGGCUUGGCCACCUCUGGGGAGCCAGUCAGAACCAGGAGAGGCAGGGACGUUGUCCCCACUGGAGGUCUCGUCCUCAGACUGUCAGCCCCACAGCUUUAUGGUGGACAAAACUGGAGGAGACACCAUCCCAGGCCCCAGCAGGUCUAAGUUCCAGCUCCCAGGAACUUUCUCUGUGACCCCGGGGAAGAAAGUAGUGAGAGGCCAGGUCAGGCUAGGGCAAAGCACUCACCAUAUUUAGCUGCUUUGGCCGCUGCUUUAGCAGCUGCAGCUGGCCCGAGAGGCCCUAGAGAGAUCAGGAAGACAGAAAUGUUCAGGAGAGAAUGGAGGAGACAUGUCCAGGACAUCCCCGUGUCUACCCAUCUGUCACUUCAUCUUGCUGUCUAUCCAGCCAAUAUGGACUUGUUUUCCCAAACAUACACCCACUAUCCCAACUCUGUGUCUGUCUGGUCAUUUGUCCCAGUCCAUGCAUCCAGCCACCCAACUGUCUACCCACACACUCAUCUAUCCGCCCACUCACCUGCCCACCUGUCCACUUUUUAGCCCUCUAUUCAACCACCCAUUUUGGAUUCACCUGUCUCCUACCCACCUAUUUAUCCAUCCACCCCCAUCCGUCCAUACAGCCAUCCCUCCUGUGACCCACUAGUCCAGCCUGCUGCCUGCUUAGCUGUCUGUUUUUCUUCUACUCAUUCAGUUUUUCAUCUAUCUGUGUACCUCUCUGUCUAUCUAUGGACCACCUAUUCUUGUCUCUGCGCAUCUGUCUACUCAUCUACUCCCUCAUCUGUCAUUUUGUCUGCUCAUUUUGUCACCAGGUGCCCAUCUGCCCUUCUGUUCUCCCCCCGCCCCCGUCUGCACCAUUUAAUACUGAGCACCUGCUCAGCCAAGGGCAGGGAAUGUGGAGAUAAAACACAGCUCCUGCCCCCAGAAGCACAUUGACUUGGAAAGUAAGUUGAGGACAAUGAUGCUGGUGGCAGUUAAUUGAGAGACUGUUGUAACUCAUGGGAGGAGGAUGAGGGAAUGAAUCAUGCCCAGGAUGUGAGCAAAGGAGAAGGGGUGGGAAGCAUGCGACAGUCUUGGCCCUAGUUUUUAUAUUGCUGUAUUACUUACUCUCUUUCUCUCUCUAACUCACCUGCUCCAUCUGCGAUGCCUGGGACCCCGACACCUGGGACUCCAACACCUGGGACUCCAACACCUGGAACGCCGACACCUGGGACGCCGACACCUGGGACCCCGACACCUGGGACGCCAACACCUGGGACGCCAACACCUGGGACGCCAACACCUGGGACCCCAACACCUGGGACCCUAGGCACCAGGCCUCCAGCAGCUCCUGAGGACAGAAAAGCAUUGUUUUCCUGCUGAUCCCUGUGGGAACCUACUCAGGCCUCCUGGGCAGUGGUCCAGGGGAGCUGUGGGGUGACAGGAUCACAUGCAGGUGCAUGGAGCCAGCUUAUCAGUGAGAUGGGGAGGGACCGAGAGAGAUCCCAAGGAGUUCUUGAGGUUGCAUCUGCAGCUAGGCAGAGUGUGAUCAACUUCUAAAGCAAAACCAGAACAGCUGACAGUAAGCAGCAGGGCAGGGGAUUGAAGAGCAGCUGGCAGGUUGGGGGAGGCAGGGUGAGCAGAGCAGGUACACCCAGGGUCCCCUCUGGAGUUAUCCUGCAGAACCAGGAGGUGGCAUCUCAGGUAGAGAAUGGGCAAAGGCAAGGAGGUGUGGACCACACCCAUAGAGAAGGGACGGGACGGAGGCAGCCAGGUGGAUGGAGGCGGUCUCCCAGCCUCGUGUGGGCUGGGGUCUCUGGAGCCCUGGGCCUGGCACGCUGGGGACACUCACCGUACUUGGCAGCCUUCGCAGCGGCAGCUGCUGCAGGAGUCCCAGCCCCUGAAAAGACAGCCACAGGCAAUGAAGCCCUUUCCUAGGGGUCCUCCCAAGGAUACCCCCAGCCUCAGACCCAGCGCUACCUGCGAUGCCUCCAAUCCCGGGGAUGGCACCGGCGCCGCCUGGGAUGCCGCCCCCUCCAAUGCCAGGAAUGACUCCUGCUCCUCCAGCACCUGCAGGGAUGGGGAGGCAGGCUGUGGCUCCCUGGGGCCCUUGCUGAGGCCGGCCAGGAAGACUCCUGGGGAGCCAGGCAGGCGCAUGAAUGCGACCCAGCACCGCUGCGCUGGGAGCCCCACCUCAGCAGGCUCAUUAAGGGAGUUGAUGCUUCAGGUCAGAUCCACUCUAAUGACUGCCGAAUACUGAGAAACCACAAGCUGCCGCUCCCCGGGCCAGAGGGGCCCCCAAAGGAAUGUGCAAGGCUUCCUCUCCCUGUGUUCCAAAGAUGCAGCCAAGCUUCUAAACCGAGCGCCAGGCUCUGGCUGCUCCUCAUGGCCGCCUGCCUGCUCCUACAUUCCAUCCUUCGCCACCGGCCCAGCUGGCCAAGGGGCCUGGGGCAGGGAGCUGCACUGGGGGGGGGGGGCAGGGUCUCCCUCCUGCCCAUCCCCUGGGCUGGUGGGACAGGCCUUCCAGCCCACCCAGGGAAGGGAAGGACCCCCGGGGGCUGAGGACCAGCGGAAGACUGCAGCCUCCCAUGCUCGACCCCAAGCUGGAGGGCAUCCGCAGUUCUGCCAACUGUUUGGGCACGGGAUGGCAUGCCACAUCGGCAGCAGCGCUGUCCAGGACACCGUGGCUUGUGGACCAAGUUACGUUUUUAUAGUACAUGUUAAAUCAAUGUGUAACUAUUAAAAUUUAAAUGCCUGUAUAA